rnacentral:lncRNA from 1 species
GGCCUGGAUAGUUUUACAUUAAGAUUACAUCUUAGGUUAUGAUUAGAUUAUAUUGGAUCAAAAUUGAUGUAGCUAUUGAUCAAAUCGAAUCAAAUAUUGAUUUGGGUUAGAUCAAUUGAGCUUAUGAUUCUACGAGUGUUGUAGAUUGAGUUGAUUAAACCCUAUAUGUAGAAUCCAGUCAAUUUAAGGACUUAAUUUGACUUUAUGGCUCAAACUCGAUUC